UACAGAGGCCUCGAGCGUUAGGCGGAAUCACCGGGCUUAAAGCGUGUGUAGGCGGAUCGUUAAGUGCCUUGUGAAAUCCCACGGCUUAACUGUGGAACGGCUGGGCAUACUGGCGGUCUUGAGCCAUCUAGGGGCGACUGGAACAAACGGUGGAGCGGUGAAAUGCGUAGAUAUCGUUUGGAACGCCAAAGGUGAAAACAGGUCGCUGGGGAUGAGCUGACGCUGAGACACGAAAGCCAGGGGAGCAAACGGG
rnacentral:rRNA from 1 species